rnacentral:lncRNA from 1 species
CCAAACAAGAAUUUAUCAGGUUCGUUCCCAACCCAGUACUUGGGCCUCUUCAAUGAUCAGACCAAUGGUGACCCAAACAGCCACAUAUUUGCAAUUGAACUCGACACUGUCCAAAAUUAUGACCUACAAGACAUCAACAACAACCAUAUUGGCAUUAAUAUCAAUAGUCUUCGCUCCAUUCAAUCCUAUGAUGCAGGCUACUAUGAUGAUAAAAGUGGUUUGUUCAAAAAUUUGGCACUCAAUAGCCAUGAGGUGAUGCAAGUGUGGGUGAACUACAACAGAGAAACCACACAGAUCAAUGUGACCAUAGCUCCCCUAAAUGUUGCAAAACCAGUGAGGCCACUGUUGUCUACUACCUACAAUCUCUCAACAGUUAUCACUAAUCCAGCGUAUAUUGGUUUCUCAUCCUCAACAGGCUCUGUUAGUGGACAGCACUAUCUGCUUGGUUGGAGUUUUGGCAUCAACAAUCCUGCUCCACCAAUCGACAUUACCAAGCUUCCAGAGAUUCCUCAUCUUGGUCAAAAGGCUCAGUCGAAAGCAUUAAAGAUAACUCUCCCAAUAACAAUUCUGGUUCUCCUACUUGCUGCAAGCAUUACUAUUUUUUUAUUCAUGCGGAGGAAUCUAAGAUAUGCUGAACUACGUGAAGAUUGGGAGGAUGAGUAUGGGCCUCACAGGUUCUCAUACAAGGAUUUAUUUGAUGCCACAGGAGGAUUUAGAGAUGAUAACUUGUUAGGUACAGGAGGGUUUGGAAUGGUAUAUAAGGGGAUUCUCCCUGUAUCCAGACUGAAUGUUGCUGUGAAGAGGGUGUCACAUGACUCAAAACAAGGCAUAAAGGAGUUUAUAGCAGAAAUUGUUAGCAUUGGCCAUCUUCAACAUCGUAACCUUGUGCCAUUAUUGGGAUACUGCCGGCGUAGAGGCGAGCUUCUCUUAGUGUAUGAUUACAUGCACAAUGGAAGCCUUGACAAGUACUUGUAUAGUAAAGAGGGCAAGCCUACUUUAGAUUGGAUUCAAAGGUUCCGAAUAAUCAAAGGAGUAGCAUCUGGUUUACUGUACCUUCAUGAGGAGUGUGAAAAAGUCAUCAUACAUCGCGACAUUAAAGCAAGCAAUGUGCUCAUCGACAAUGAGAUCAAUGGGCGGAUAGGUGAUUUUGGUCUUGCAAAAUUGUAUGAUCAUGGCACUGACCCAGAAGCAACACAUGUAGUUGGCACCAUAGGAUACCUAGCUCCAGAGCUAGCACGCACUAGCAGGGCAAAUCCUUUAACAGAUGUAUUUGCUUUUGGUAUAUUCAUUCUUGAGGUCACAUGUGGGCAAAGGCCUAUCAAGCAAAAUACUGAAGGCAUACAGGUAAUGUUAGUUGACUGGGUUUUGGAACAUUGGCAUAAAGGGUCACUUACUGAUGCGGUGGACAUCAAAAUUCAAGGUGAAUAUGAUAUUGAUGAGGCAUGUCUAGCACUGAAGCUAGGAUUGUUAUGCUCCCACCCAUUCACUAGAGCAAGGCCAAAUAUGAGGCAAGUCAUGCAGUACCUUAACAAAGAAAUGCCAAUACCAGAGUUAACACCAAACAUAAAUUUCUCCAUGCUAGCCUUGAUGCAGAAUGAUGAGCUCAUAAUGCACUGUCCAUCGGAAAUUGGCUUUGGCACAAUAUCUACAAUCUCAGGAGGUAGAUGACUAGAUGACAUGAGGCUUGACAGUGCACAUGGCCUUCAAUGUUUGCAUGCAUACAUAGCCAAUGUUGUGUAAAGAUGAAGUAAACUCUAUAAAUAGAAGUUGCUUAACUUUGGUUUUUGAUGCUCUUCUGUUGUCUGAUUUAGACUAAAUUACCCCAUUCUUUGUGUGCUCAUUAAAUUAAUCUUUGUGAUUCUCGAAUUAUUUUGAAUCUCGUUUUCAUUCAUAAAUGUAUAAAUUUAUUAUCAUUCAAAAAAAAAUUGUCCAUAUAACUGGACAAGAUUUCUCCAAGACAACGAGAAAAUACAUCAUAAUCACAGACAUAGUCAAUGAAACCAAGGAAAGUGAUUGCAUUGAUGGUAACAACUAAAUCAGAGCACUUCUUGAGAUAUUUUAAAGAAAUGGAACAUGUAGAUGGGCAGAAAGGGAUUUAUGGUCCAGAACUUGACUUGAGAAACACACUAGAUCAUAAGGCCAAGAACUAAUUCAUAUCAUACAUAAAAAAGUAUGAAUAAGUUGAUAAUAAAUUUAUUUCGACCAUAUUAACUGGCCAAUAUCUAGAUAAACUAAACACAGGGAGCAGACAUGACAGACACAGACAUGAUCAGUGAGAUCAGUGGAAUUGAAAGCAGUGAUCGUAAAUUCAACAAAAAUCCUAGCACAACAUGCAUUUCUUGACAUAUUCCUAUUAACUGGGACAUAUAGACAAUGGACAAGGAAAUUUCAUUCUCAAGAAAUUGUUCCAAGAGACAGAAAUACGUGACCAUGUUGAUCAACCUUAUGUUAAGCUAUGAAAAUCAACUAUGAUAGCAGUGCUAAAAGACGUGAUAGCUACCCAUCCAUAAAAAAAGACUGUAAGGUAGCAAGAACCAAGAGAGCCUACUCUAGUAGAUUAAGAGAAAAAAGUCCUCACAAUAUGAAACAUUCAAAGGAAAUGUAAGAAAAAAUCAACAGGUCAAAGUAUCCAGCAAAUGUUCGAACCAGAACAAAUAGUUAAUUGUACUGAUUCAACAUCCACUGACAGUGACUCUUAUUGAAUGCCAUAUAUGUUGGAAGAAAAGUAAACACUAAACACCUUACCAGUUCAAUUCCACUAUAUAUUAGCCACAAAUUGAGACCUCCAAGUAGCUUAGAAAAUACUUUGCUCUUGCAUCUUUCUUGAACUACCAGAAGUUACACCCAUGCCUGAAAAGAAACAUAAGUGGCUCAUUCUAUGCCAACUUCUCUACCUUUCCAGCUUCAAACUUACAUCUUUCAUCGACGCUGAUGAUCAAUUCAUCUACUCCAGCUUCAGAGAAGCAAAUAUCAGCCUAGAUGGCACUGCCACAAUCAAACCUGAUGGAAUCCUUGAGCUAACCAACGGUAGCUUUAAUCUCAAAGGCCAUGCAUUCUACCCAACUCCUCUGCACUUCCACAAGUCACCUGGUGGAAAUGUGAAAUCUUUCUCAGUCAGCUUCAUCUUCAGCAUCCUCUCUGCCUACCCUGACAAGAGUGCAGAUGGCAUGGCCUUCUUAGUCACAACAAACAAGAAUUUCUCUGGUGCAUUUCCAGCCCAGUACUUAGGACUCCUCAAUGAUCAGAACAACGGCAAUGCAAGCAACCAUAUCUUUGCAGUUGAGCUUGACACCAUACAAAACAGCGAGUUCAAGGAUAUCAACGACAACCAUAUUGGUAUUAAUAUUAAUAGUCUCCACUCUGUACAAUCCCAGGGUGCUGGUUUCUACAACAACAAAAAUGGUAUGUUCAAGAACAUGUCACUCAUUAGUGGUGAGGUGAUGCAGGUGUGGGUGGAAUAUGAUGGAGGGACCGCACAGAUCGAUGUAACCUUAGCUCCCAUUAAAAUGGCUAAACCUAGUAAGCCACUAGUCUCAGCCCUCUACAAUCUCUCAACAGUUCUCACAGAUACAGCAUAUGUUGGAUUCUCAUCUUCAACUGGAGUAAUUAACUCAAGAUAUUGCUUGCUCGGUUGGAGCUUCAGUAUGGGCAAUACAACUCCAGAGAUUGACAUCACCAAGCUGCCAAAGUUACCUCGUGUUGGCUCAAGGUCACCAUCAAAGGUCCUAAUGAUUGUUCUUCCAACAGCCAUUGCAUCAUUCAUCCUUGUUACUGGAACCGCCAUUAUUUUAUUUGCACGGAGGAAAUUGGCAAAUGAUGAGCUACAGGAAGAUUGGGAGGUUGAGUUUGGGCCACAUCGGUUCACGUACAAAGAUUUGUUCCUUGCCACUGAAGGAUUUAAGAAUAAGAAUGUGCUGGGUGCAGGAGGAUUUGGGAAGGUGUAUAAAGGCAUACUUCCAACAUCUAAAUUAGAAAUUGCAGUGAAGAGGUUGUCACAUGACUCAAAACAAGGAACAAAAGAGUUCAUCACGGAGAUCGUUAGCAUUGGCCACCUUCGACACCGAAAUCUCGUGCAGUUACUAGGCUAUUGCAGGCGAAAAGGUGAACUUCUUUUGGUAUAUGACUACAUGCCAAAUGGUAGUCUUGACAAGUUCCUAUAUUGUGAACAUGACAAACCUUCACUGGAUUGGGCUACAAGGUUUCACAUCAUAAAAGGAGCUGCAUGUGGCUUGCUCUACCUUCAUGAUAAGUGGGACAAAGUUGUAAUCCACCGAGACAUCAAAGCAAGCAAUGUGCUUCUUGAUAGCAAAUUCAAUGGACGGCUAGGAGACUUUGGCCUUGCAAAGUCAUAUAACCGUGGCACAGACCCACAGACCACACGUGUGGUUGGCACCAUGGGUUACCUGGCCCCAGAAUUGGUACGCAUGGGUAAGGCAUCCCCACUUACAGAUGUUUUUGCUUUUGGCACAUUCCUUCUUGAAGUGACAUGUGGGCAUAGGCCUGUUAAGCAAAAUGAGCUAGGUGAGCGUAUUAUGUUGGUUGAUUGGGUACUUGACCAUUGGCAGCAAGGAUCAUUGGUAGAGACAAUAGACAAGAGGCUAGAAGACUGCAACAUAGAUGAGGCGUGCCUGGUUUUAAAACUUGGGCUCUUGUGCUCACAACCAUUUGCUAGUGCAAGGCCUAGAAUGCAUCUUGUAAUUCAAUACCUUAAUGGUGACAUGCAGUUGCCAGAGUUCACACCAUCAGAUAUAAGCAUCAGCAUGCUAGCCUUUAUGGAAAAUAGGGGAUUCGAUCCUUCCUUGAUUUCAUACCCACAGCUGGCAAUGAGUGUUGGCACAAUGUCAAGCUUCUCAGGUGGAAGGUAAAAAUAAUUUAUGGAGAAUGAAAGCAUGAGUUUUGUGCUUAUCUACUUAGGAUACUUAUAUAGAUUAUAGAGUAGUUGGUGGCUGUGUUAGCCCUUAUCAUUAUUCUUAUCUUGCUUUAGCAUUUACUUUAGCAUCUCUAUAAUAUGUUGUAAUCCUUUCUUAAGGACCAAAUAUACUACCCUAUAUGUAUCCCCAACCUGCCAUGGUUCGUGGCAAGACUAAUAAAUCUGAAUCUAGCCCCAAACCUGUGAUUUGGUUCCAACAGUCAUUAAUCAGAGCUAUAGUAGGUUUCUUUUGUACAUUACAUGGGGUCAUAUCUAUUAUUGCACAUUUCCGAAUUAAAAUUUUAGGGUCUGUUUGAUUUGAGGAACCAGCUCAUGCUAUAUGAGGUGUUGCAACAUGAAUUUUGGUGGAAUCAGACUAUUCUUCAUGCAUAUACUAAUUAUUAGCUUCUGAAGAAUGACCUGAUGGAUCAACUCAUUCCAUCUCAAAAACCAAACAAAAAAGUGAGGUGUGAGAAAAUGAUAGACCACAUCAUUCCUCAAACCAAACACACCCAAUGCUGCAGUGCGAAGCACUGUGUGAUUAUGUAUCCAGAUCCUAUAUUCAUUAUUCCAAUGGUGGAUCCGAAGUAAGCACACGGGGAACUGCUACCAUUAUCUUGUAAUAAAAUUAUGAUGAAACUAUAUCUGUUUAUUUGGUCAAUUUCUUUUAACAAUACCGACUUAGACGCCCUAAACCACACACGCAUCCAUAAGCUUCAGCAAUCACACGCAGAUCUCAACCAAUUUGGGUACGGUUGUAUGAAAUCAGAAAGAUUGGAUCUUGAAAGGAACGGAAGCGUACCAAUUGUGAUGAGCAGAUAUCCGUUGAGCAUCAUUGCUUCCUGGCUGCCGACGAAAGCGUGGCUGUUACGUGCACCACCGGCAAGACUACUGGUAGGCCGACGGCCGCCGGCCGCCGCGCAAGCCGCACCCUCGUCUGCCGAGCCGCCGCAGGAGCAGAGAAAGCGGCGGGCGAAAGCGGAAUGGCCUCGCCGGAGGAGCCCGGAG